GAAAUAUCGCGAGAACAAAAGUGACUAUACCAGUGAACAUGUCAAAAAGGAGGGACGUAGAGUUCUCGCGAUACUGCUUGUGUGACGAAGCGCUUCGCUAUUCCAGGGGCGUGGUCAAGGUGAAAGGGGCGUGUCUACGCUGAACGGAAGAUGGAAGGUGUCUCAGUUACGGCUGCGUGGGCGCUCCGAAGCAGCUUCCGUUGUGGAGGGGACGAGUGUCCGCUCGGAAGAUCGAUCACCUGUGGUGAGAGCUGGGGCGCUGACAGGGUCGCCAGCACCGCACUCCUUCCUUCUCCGCAGUUUUGCACCCGGUCUCUGCGUCCCUGUUUCCCAGGUUAAGAGCACUUACACUUCUUUCCAGUGUAGGCGACUCUUUCAAGUGUGCCUCAGUCUGUCAUGUUUCCUGCCCCGGAAGCUCGCUUUCCUCUGCAAGGCCUUUGCACCAUGCUCUUUCUGCCUUGGAGCCAGCUGACCAUGGACUGAAUCUCCUGACUUGUGAGCCAAAUUAAACCUCUCCUCCGUUCAUUGUGAGUGUUGGGUAUUGUGUCCAGCAAUAGGAAAGCUGACCGAUACACUUAAAAACAGAAAAGACAUACAUAUUAACAGGGGGACCAUGUAAUAUGUUUAAAUCAGGUUAACAUACUGAUCUUCUCAAACUUUUGACAUUUCUUU
rnacentral:lncRNA from 1 species